rnacentral:rRNA from 1 species
UACGGGGGGGGUAAGCGUUGUUCGGAAUUACUGGGCGUAAAGGGCUCGUAGGCGGCCAACUAAGUCAGACGUGAAAUCCCUCAGCUUAACUGGGGAACUGCGUCUGAUACUGGAUGGCUUGGAUUCGGGAGAGGAAUGCGGAAUUCCAGGUGUAGCGGUAAAAUGCGUAGAUAUCUGGAGGAACACCGGUGGCGAAGGCGGCAUUCUGGACCGACAUUGACGCUGAGGAGCGAAAGCCAGGGGAGCAAACGGG